GGAUCGAUUCAGACAAGGUGGUAAAUUGUAUGACAAGCGACAGUUUAUUCAGAGUGAAGAUAUCUAGAACAGCGUAAUUACGGCUCUCCCGCUGGUUCAUACGGAACUGCAGACAAAAAGAGACCGUUACAAUCAAUACACCACUUAUAUAUAGAACAGAAAGUAGGUUGAUUCUGGAAGAUCGGAUCUUUGGAUUGGUUCAGCUGGGGUGUAGUCUGUAGUCUUCCGCCAUUGGCUCAGUUGUCUGUCCGUCAUCGUAGAAUCCUCUUCGGGCACACAAUGUUCAGCUACAAAGGAGAUUAUGUGUGUGUGCGCUGGUUUUGGCAAUUAGUGUAAUGCGGGAGCUAUCCUGUAGGGGACCCCACAGGCUUUACUUUGAGUCGUAGCCCUGUCCUAACAAUAGUUUGGUCACCUGUAUAAAAAAAAAAUAGCAUUUCUCUACAAAAACUAAACCGAAAGGUGUAUUUCUUCGCCCGGCACCGGUCACUGAGUUAGCAAGCUGAAGUUGGCUAGUGAGUUGUACGUUCAGCCUAUUCAUUAUUUCAGUCCGAUUGGCCUUAAAGUAAAUUAAUCAGCAUGGCUUAACAUAGCACUGUUGGCGGUAUAAACAACCAUUUCGCUACACCCGCUAAACAUGUUUAUGUAAAAUAAAAUGUAUUUUAUUAAUUUCGUUUUUGACCUCGACAAUCUUGCUGGAUAGACACUGAUAGCUAACAUGCUAGCGCUGCUAACUAGCUAAUGCUAAUGGCGCUAGUUAAACUCCUGUUAGGCUGGACACAUUGCAUUUAUAACAAUGCUUUUUUUCUAAUAAAAAGUGGUUCAUUGCAUCCGCGUUGGAGCCCAGUUUCAUAAUAUAUCCCAGCUGCCUGUCGUAGUUGAAGUAAACACGAAAAGGCAGGCCUUAAUUUAGGGCAUUUUAUCACCCUGCCAGCUCCUAUUAGUUCUAUUGAGCACCGUGGUACCAACUCGCCUUCCGAACGUUCGUGUAAUGUGUCCAGCCUAACAGGAGUUCAGCUAGCGCCGUUAGCAUUAGCUAGUUAGCAGCGCUAGCCAUCAGUAUCUCCAGCAAGAAAGUACAACAAAUGGGACAAUGGUAGUUUCGCUAUAGUUGGCAAUGGAGACCUGCUCACGUUAAGUUAAAAUGUAAACAACAAAUUACUCAUGUUACUCGAGGUCGUCCCAUUGUUUACUAUAGGGAAAUAUAGGUAUGGCGAUCUUAUUUUGCCAAAUAUCUCGCGAUGUGUAUAUUGAGUUUUUUUUUUUGGGGGGUCAUUCGGACACCAUGUUAAUCAUUAUCUUUCUAAUUAUCUAAGGCUGGGUAUUGUAUCGUCAUCAAACGCUAGACCAGAAAUAGUCCGUUGCCAUUUCCCCCCCUACUUCCUCGCUAUGCAGAGAAGCACAAUUGGCUCCACUGAGGUGCAGAUGUUUCCUUUAUACACUAGUUAUUUUUCAGUUUCGUCCUACGAACAGAUUGUAGUGUAAAAUAAAAAUAGAUACUUUUUUGGUGCCAUUUAGGCUAAAUGGGAAUCUAAGCUUCACUCCAGUCAAAACAGGCUCUGCGAACGUUCGAUUCCAGUCAUUUGAUAUGGACUCGCGCUAGUUUUAGCUUAGCCAACGUUCUAAAGCCGUUUUCAGCCUUGGGUGAAUUUUGACUCGUUCUUUUGUCCAGCCGAACUAUGCGGAUGUUUAUCUAGUUCCCAAGAGCAGCAGACCGUGGCUGGAGUUGAGUCAGUGUGUUGGCAGCAGCCACACAGAUUCCCAACUGGAUACAGAUCUGUAAUGCACUCCACCACUGCCUGACAGCCUCACCCAGAAGAGCAUACACUGGGCCUAUCAAGACUGACAAUGCAGAGAUGGGUGGGUGACAAGGAAACUGAAAACACAACAUGCACACACACUCCCUCUCUCUGUCACACACAUAACCUCCAAUGUUAAUACAUUGUAGUUUAUUUUAUGUAUGCUCCAUUUUAUUUGAGGAAAAUGUCUGUAAUAAAGUUUGUUUACAGUUAA